rfam:Schistosoma rodhaini strain Burundi genome assembly, scaffold: SROB_scaffold0013626
AUCCAGCUGACGAGUCCCAAAUAGGACGAAAAGCGCUUUAUCCUGGAU